UGGGGAAUAUUGCACAAUGGAGGGAACUCUGAUGCAGCGACGCCGCGUGAGUGAUGAAGGAAUUCGUUUCGUAAAACUCUGUUCUAUGGGAAGAAAAGGACUGUACCAUAGGAGAAAGCUCCGGCUAAAUACGUGCCAGCAGCCGCGGUAAUACGUAUGGAGCGAGCGUUGUCCGGAAUUAUUGGGCGUAAAGGGUGCGCAGGCGGCUUUACAAGUUGGAUGUGAAAUAUUGUGGCUCAACCACAAACGUGCAUCCAAAACUGCAAAGCUUGAGUUAAGGAGAGGUAAGUGGAAUUCAUGGUGUAGCGGUGGAAUGCGUAGAUAUCAGGAGGAAUACCGGUGGCGAAGGCGACUUACUGGACUUAAACUGACGCUCAGGCACGAAAGCGUGGGGAGCAAACAGG
rnacentral:rRNA from 1 species